UACGGAGGAUGCGAGCGUUAUCCGGAUUUAUUGGGUUUAAAGGGUGCGUAGGCGGACUGUCAAGUCAGCGGUAAAAUUGAGAGGCUCAACCUCUUCCCGCCUUUGAAACUGGUGGUCUUGAGUGGAUGAGAAGUACGCGGAAUGCAUGGUGUAGCGGUGAAAUGCAUAGAUAUCACGCAGAACUCCGAUUGCGAAGGCAGCGUACCGGCAUCCAACUGACGCUGAGGCACGAAAGCGUGGGGAGCAAACAGG
rnacentral:rRNA from 1 species